CAAUUUUGGAAGAGGAGAUAUCAUGGUCAUGAAGGAAGUUUUCCCAGGGCGAGCCUCACCCAUUGCAGUCUGGAUGUGCUGACCCCUGUGAUUUCCCCAAAUGCAGGAAACUGCAUAAUUUGUGAUAGUGUGGGACUAUGUUCUUGCUCUACCCUGAU
ensembl:snRNA U1 U1 spliceosomal RNA